rnacentral:rRNA from 1 species
UACGUAGGGUGCGAGCGUUAAUCGGAAUUACUGGGCGUAAAGUGUGCGCAGGCGGCCGAGCAAGUCGAGUGUGAAAGCCCCGAGCUUAACUUGGGAACUGCGCUCGAAACUACUUGGCUAGAGUGUGGCAGAGGGAGGUGGAAUUCCACGUGUAGCGGUGAAAUGCGUAGAGAUCUGGAGGAACACCGAUGGCGAAGGCGACUUCCUGGCCUGUUCUUGACGCUGAGGCGCGAAAGCUAGGGGAGCAAACGGG